GGAGCAAGCAGACAGAUGACAAGUGUCU
rnacentral:piRNA from 1 species